UGGGGAGUGGUGCGAGCGGUCCAAGCCGCCUCGUUCUGAGCCAGGAUUUCGCCGGUUCGAAUCCGGCCUCCCUUG
rnacentral:tRNA from 1 species